rnacentral:rRNA from 1 species
UNUGGGCCGUUACUGACGCUGAGGAGCGAAAGCGUGGGGAGCGAACAGGAUUAGAUACCCUGGUAGUCCACGCUGUAAACGUUGGGCACUAGGUGUGGGGGGCCUUUUCCGGGUUUUCCGCGCCGUAGCUAACGCAUUAAGUGCCCCGCCUGGGGAGUACGGCCGCAAGGCUAAAACUCAAAGGAAUUGACGGGGGCCCGCACAAGCGGCGGAGCAUGCGGAUUAAUUCGAUGCAACGCGAAGAACCUUACCAAGGCUUGACAUGGGCUGGAUUGCUUCGGAGACGGGGUUUCCCUUUUUUGGGCUGGUUCACAGGUGGUGCAUGGUUGUCGUCAGCUCGUGUCGUGAGAUGNNNNNNANAANNNCCGCAACGAGCGCAACCCUUGUCUCGUGUUGCCAGCACGUUGUGGUGGGGACUCGCGGGAGACUGCCGGGGUUAACUCGGAGGAAGGUGGGGAUGACGUCAAAUCAUCAUGCCCCUUAUGUCUUGGGCUUCACGCGUGCUACAAUGGCCGGUACAGUGGGUUGCGAUGCUGUGAGGCGGAGCGAAUCCCUGAAAGCCGGUCUCAGUUCGGAUCGGUGUCUGCAACUCGACACCGUGAAGUUGGAGUCGCUAGUAAUCGCAGAUCAGCAGCGCUGCGGUGAAUACGUUNU